AACUGGAUAAGAAAAGAAUAUGCACUUCAUGUAUAUGCACAAAAAUCUGUUCAAAUUUUUCUUAGGAAUAAAGUAAAAGGUUUGUUACAACAAAUUGAAAGUGUAGUAGAAGUUGAUCAAAAAUCCAAAUAAGAGAAGGAGAAGGCCCUGAGAAAUUAUAAAGGAGUCAUAAAAUAGAUUUGAAUUAUACGCAGGCCAGACAAUUGAGUAAGAAAGAGAACAGCUACAUUUGGGUAAAUAUUUUCAAACAAGAAACUAACCGAAUCCUGGACCAGCUGUGGUUGAGGACCCUGGUGCCCUUUAAGAACGGCGCUCAUUUAGGGAAAAACAAAGGCCUUUCUCCUUCCCUCCUCAAAGCAUCCUGCGGAGGCCCAGUUCCGGACCACCGGGCACAUCCUGCGGCCCCCGCGGUGACAGGCGCGCGCCCGCCCCGCAGCUCUUCCCGUUUGGAGCAGGCGGAGCUUUCGCCGCUGGAAGACCGAGCCGGCUGACAGCUUCGGACACGCGGCGGAUCUGGGGCAGAUGCAGAGGGUCGCAGGCUGUCACCGCACUUCUAAUCUGGUUACAGGGCUGAGUCGCGGGAAGACGUUCACACGUUUGUAAUCCCCGAUCAUUCCUGCUCCCUAAGCCUGGCAGUCUCUGUCACUUUAAACAAAAAUGAGAUUUCUAUUUCACUGCAUGGGAGACACAGUUCACCUUCCUCACACCCAUCCCAGAAGUGUUCUCAGAGAUGAAAUUACUGGUGCCAGAAAGCGCGUGCUGCUCCGCAGAACCCAGAGUCAAGGAGAUGGAGGUGACCGGUUUUGCACUGAUCACAGAAAGUUCUCACAGACACCAUCACAGCCAAGCAAGCAGGACACGCCAGCACAGAUGUCGGGAAAGUCCUCUGUCGCAGGUGCCAUCAGACACCAGUGAACAAAUGACACCCCAUGUGAAGUUCUGUGGCUGCAGUUGUGGAGAGGACAGACUCAGAACCUUUGCUCCUAUGGACCUCACAUGCUGGAGAAAGAGGCAAGUGUGAUGAAACGGGACCUGCCCUCGAUUCUCCCCUGAGGACAUCUCACCUCUCCUCCAGGUUACGGCUGAGAACUCUUCUCUAUUACCCAAGGUGUCACCCAGGGAAGUCCCUAAAACAUUUUUCACGUGUAACACUUUGUUUUUAAGUUGUGCUUACUUAUAGUAACCAAGGCAGAACAAUGCCAGAUAGCCAAAUGGCAGAACCAGUUCAAACCAGAAAGGUCCAAGAUGGUGAUGGGGUACUGUGUGCAAAAGGAAAUGUGUGCAGAAGGUGCCAUGUGCAAGAAGGGAAGAUCUGUGCAUGCCCCAAAUGCCCCCACCCCUCACCCCGAGCAAUGAUGUGGAGACCCUUUCCCCUUCACAUCCCAUAAGAACCCUGCUAAUCUUCCUUUUGGGGACAUGUUUUAGAGCAUGAGCUCUGCCUCCUCUAUUCAUUAAUCAAUGAAUAAAGUUUCUGCUCUGCUAUUCUGAACCCCAGUUCCUUCUAUUGGUGAGAGCACCGCUGGGCAAAAGGACCCACUUUUAGUCACCUGUCCCUUAGGGCUUGGUAACAAAAUAUCGUAACCCCUAAGAGAAUGGAAUAGUUGCUGGCUCCUCUCCUUGAUUCUGGCCUCUCAGCUCUCAGCGGGUGAAGCAAUGGGCUACGGAAGCACAUACUGGGCUGACUCACCUACCUUGUUGGAGGCUCAUGAAUGGGAGAGAAACCAGGACUGUCCUGCCUGGUGCUUGUCCACUGAUCUCUCCCCACGGACUUUUACUAAACCAGCACCUGCUGCUGCACUUAGACUUUUGUCUUCUGCUGCUUGGUUUGAGUCAAGGGGGAUCUCUUACAAGCCAACAUAAAGUUUCCCUUUGGUUUAGCAUCAGAACAGGAGGUGUGCAUGCAGGCAGGACUGAGGCACAAGAGUGCCUUCUCCCUAGGAAUGGACUGAGGGAGCCCAGAAAAGGACUGAGGAGGGAACGGUUUUGUCGGUCCCUUAAGGGAGCCCCUCUCCAAAGGACAGGUACCAGUCCAUGAGGGACAGACUAGGCAUGGGAUCAGGGAUGCCUGAUCAACCCAGGUCACACUUGGGGGUGCCCAACCCUCAUGGCCAAGACAUCUAAGUGGGACGUUUUGAGGCAGCAACAGAAGGAGGUAACAACAGUUGUUCAGGGUUUUUGUUUUGUUUUUGUCUUUGCACUAAUCUUCUUCCAACAGGACCAGCUGGGAAUUACAGGUUUUAUAUAAAAGUAAUUACAUGUCUUAUGCCUGAUUGUAUUUUAAAUUAUAUUGUGGGGAUAAAUAUUGUGUCUCACUGGGAAACAUUUCCUUUGCUUGAUUUUGUGAGGGCAUAUAAAUCCAGCCUUCAGGCAAUGUUAAUUAAGCAUGGUAAAGGACAUCUCACUUUAAGUGGCCAAAUUGAUUCCAAAAACAGCUAUAAAAAGGAUCCUUACUGCAGAAAGAAAAGAAUCUUUGGAUCAAGAUAACCCAGGAUAAUUUAAAAUUACAGUGGCCACUUUGGGGCUUCUUUCAGCCUCCAAAACUUGUACACUAGCUGUUAGAAGGAAUGUUCCAAUUAUGCAACAUCAGUCAAGAAGUAUACUUUUUAAGUCAUGGCUUUACAAAUACCCUCGUAAUCUACCUUUGAGGGAGGACCCAAUAUGAGCCCCUCCCAGGGUUAACAAGACUCAGAGAGAUUUUCUGGGAAACUGCUACCCUAAAAAAGUCAAGGGAAAACAAAAUAAAAAAAUUAAUGGAACUGUUUAGUGCUGUCAGGAAUAAUUACUAUUUGUUCCCACUGAAACUUGACAAGAUUUGGUAACUUAUGAUCAGAAGUUUGGCCAAAUCAGAAGGUGAUAUGUAAUACCUGAUAGGAAUUUUUUUAGGCCUUCUUCCCUAAAUUAAGAUAAAACUAAGUACCCAGAGGGAAAGAAGCAAAUUAAGGAUAAUGUAACUGGAUGGGCGUGUCAGUCCUUUGAUAAGUAACUAAUCUCCCCUGAUAAUCUCAAAAAUUUGUGACCUCUCUGGGAGCUAUUAUCUAGACUAUCCCAGAUUCCUAAGACUGAAAGAAAAACAAAUGGGACAAGAAGCUUUUGGAGAUGCAGACUGCUAUGAAAGCACCCUUGUCCAGAAAUCUAAGGAAAACUUCCCCCCCCUGCUUUUUCUCCCCCAAAUCCCCUCAGUAUAUAGUUAUAUAUUUUAGUUGUGGGUCCUUCAAGUUGUGAAGACCUGAAGCUCUUAUUCUGGAGACACAAAGAUAAGUCCUUGUUGGGCUGGCAUCCCACUCUCAUGGAGGUGCUGGGACUCCUUUUCUGUCAUCUCUCAUAACUAAUCUUCACUCUGAUUUGUGCUCCCCCUGGAGUACCUAUAUCUACAGUGUCAUCAGGCUACAAAAAGAGACUAAUUGGUUAAAUGAAAAAGGCCAACCAGACCUAACAAAACAGCUCUGGAAUGGGGUUAAAUAGUCUCUCCCCAGCCUGACUUGGUUUCUAUCACUUUUUGGGGGCUAUUCUGCUUCUUCUAUUCUUUGGGCCUUGUAUUCUAAACUGUCUGGUUUCCUUUCCUAGCAAAAGACUAAUUAAAUUCCUAAUGGUAUUAAGCAGGGUUAUGAGAGGUUGGGAGUCUAACCGGAUGACAACCAAACAUAUUUAAAAGUAGCUGGGGAUAAGUUCUGCUCCUCUAUGGGCCCCUAUGAUGACGCCCUGGUCAGCUGGAAGUAGUUAUGGAAGACAGAACUUUAUCCAUUGCCCCUCAAGAAUGAGGAGCAGGACAUAGAGGAGGGAUUUUGUCACCCAGGGAAGUCCCUAAAACAUUUUCCAUGUCUAAUGCUUUGUUUUUAAGUUGUGUUUGCUUACAGGAACCAAGACAGAACAAUGACAGAUGGCCAAGCGGCAGAACCAGACCAAAGCAGAAAGGUCCAAGAUGGCGAUGGGGUGCUUUGCACAAAAGGAAAUGUGUGCAAAAGGUGCCUUGUACGAGAAGAGAAGAUCUGUGCAUGUCCCAAAAGCCCUCAAACCCUGAGCGAUGACAUGGACACCCCUCCCCUUCAAAUCCAUAAGAACCCUGCUCACCUUCCCUUCAGGGAGAAGGUAUUUUAGAGCACAAACUCUGCCUCCAUUCAUUGAUCAAUGAAUACAGUUUCCACUCUGCUAUUCUGAACCCAGUCUUGUUCUAUUGGCAGAGUGGCUCCAGGCAAAAGGACCCCAUUGGGGGUCACCAGUCCCUUAGAGCUCAGUAACAAAGGCUUAGCUAAGUCUUGCUCUGCCCUCAAUUUCCCCAUAACAUUCCAAUCUCCAUCAUUUAGUGCAGCACCAUGUUAUGAUUACUUUGGUCUUCCUACUCAACUGGUCCUUGGGCCAUGAAUCACAGCGUCCCUGUUGCUACAGAGCUCCCAGGAGGUGUUUGUGGUAUAUGAAGGAAGACAGCAAAUUCUUUGCUAUUCCUCCCAUUGAAAAGUGAGUCUAUUUCAUCUCACCCUGAAACUCGAUGACUUGCUUGACCAUAAGAAUUGGUGGAUGUAAUUUCCUUUUAAAUUUCUGAGAACAAGAUACAAAUAGUUUGCAACCUCUACAUGGGUCUCUUGGUACACCCUAGGCUGCCAUGUAAGAAGUCUACCCAUGUGUAAGCGCCCUGGUUGAAAGUUCCUGCUGGUCCCAGCCUUCCAGCCAUCUAUAAGAAGGCACAGCAACGUGAGUGAAGUCAUCCCAGACACUCUAAAUGAACUCACACAGCACCUGAGUAUCGCCAAGUGAUUACCAUUAUGCCACAUGGAAGAGUAGACUCACCCAGCUGAGCCCUGUUCGAUUUUCUGACUCCAAAAAUGUGGGAGUUAAUGCAUUGUUUGCACCUAUGUUUGGUGUCAUGUUUUCACGCAACAAUAGACAACUGCAAAAGUAAAGAAUCUUUUUCACCCACCUAAUUCCUAGCCUCCUCCAAGGACAAGUGGACAUCCCACUGUCUUCUUUGUAAGUCCUUUAACAGACUAAAUUUUCCCUCUGGGGACCUGUCAUGGCACUCAUAGAAAAUGGAGAACUUACCUGACAGUGCCCCUUAGACCUCAACAUCCUUGAAGACAUUCAGGAGUCUCUGUCUCUCAGCUCCUGCAGAGACCAGCCCUGGGGGACGACUCUCCUCCUGUCCCCGCCCUGCAAGGCCGAGCUUAUCCUCACGAUGCAAACUACUGGACAAGCCAACCAGCAGAUCAGGCAUUAUGGUCAUCUGGAGAUGUUGCCUUGGGAUGACUCUGGCCAGUCCAAGUGGCAUGAGCUGGGAAAGACUGAUGGCUGAUAAAGAAUCCACUUUCAAGACAGGGCACUCGCUUGACGGGCAUUUUGGUGCUGCUGCUCGGCUGGACUCUGGGGCAGGGUGCUGGGCAGCGUGUCAGAUGGCUCUCAGCUGAGAGUGUGGGGGAGGCCAGGCCAACACCCUGAGAUCCAGGGAUGGGUAGAGGCACGUUCCCUUUGAUUCUACUCCACCCACAGUGGAAAUCUCACGACUCAGCCAGAAGGAAAGAUGGGAAUGUGAGCGGGCAGGCUCAGGCCCAGGAAGGGGAGAAGCAACGUUAGCAGAAAAUUUGCAGUCUCCACCACACAAACAUUUUGUUAAUUUUUUGGGUAUGAGUAUUUAUUUUGGUGAUAAGUUAAAUAAUUUUUUAGAAUUUCCUUUUUGGCCUUAUGAUUCUCAUUUGUGGAAGUGAUUUAUUUUGGGAUACUAGUUUCAUAUGCGGCAAUCUUGAUGAACUGUCAUAAGUGCACCAGAUAUUUACAACAUGUUAGUUUUUGAAAAUUUUCUAUGUAGAUAAUCAUACAAUUUGAGAGAAAUUAUAUGUCUGUAAAUGGUAUUUGUAUUAUUUUAAUUCUUUUUUGUCUGUGUCAUAGCCCCAGCGAGAAUGUCUGGCAUGAUAUUUAAUUUAAACACUAAUAAUAACAAACUUGUUUGGUUGCUAAUUUGAAAGCUAAAAUUUCUGAUAUUUUCUCACUAAAAUUUAGGUUUAUUGUAGUGCUUUCAUUGAUAAAUUUCAACUAAUUAAGGGUAUAUAUUCCUAUGCAUAGUGUGGUGUUUCUAAAGUGAAUGGAUUUGUAUUUUAUUUUUUCUGCAUUAAGAUAAUCACAUGAUGUUUACAAUCCCUUAAUAUGCUGAAUUCUCUUAAUGUACUUUCCAAUAAUAAAACAUUUUUGAAUUCCUGAGAUGUUUUCAACUUGUAUUACAUUCUGUAAGCAUACCUGAAUUUAAUUAACAAGUUUUAGAACAACACUAUUCUAGCACCAUAAAAUGAGCUGGGGAAUAGGAAUUUCUGAAAGAUUCUGAAUAAGUUUGGAUACAUCCUUUCACUGAAUGAUUCAGGAACUCUUUCUGUAAGUCCAUCAGGGUCUGGAGUUUUCUCUUGCAGAUUAUUUAAAAAUAGGAAG